GUCUGUUUGAUUCAUCACAACACACACUCACUAUUGAGAUGGAAAGUCCAUCCACACAGCAGGAGGUGACGUCUGCUCAUUCACAUGUGGACUUGUGUAUACGCAUGUGUAGCUAUUUUUCCCUGUGUUGAUGUAUGUCUAGUAUGUUUGUGUAGGUGUGUGUACGUAUGUGUACAUGUCUAUAUAUAGUAUGUAUGAACCAGUUCUAUGGUACCAACAGUUAGUUUCCAGCCAGUAUGUGAGCUCAGUUUAGCCUGUCUUUUGUUCACACAGGUGGAUCCCAAUGAAUGUGUAUUGGAACCUUUGAAAGUCUAAUAUCUUGUAAACAAUUUUGACUAUAGCUUAGAUAUUCUAGAGGAGCAAUGAGCUCACCAUGCUGAACGUUUUGCUAUAUAAUAUGUGUAUGUUGUUUAAAUGUUGCGGGAGUAGAUUCAGUUUAUACAUUUUUCUAGGCUUCAAUGUUUGAAAGGGAAAGCCACUCACACACACAUGAGAUUUACAUUUAAGUUUAGCUUAAAUGAUCUUAAAUUAACUAUUUCUAAAGCUAUAGCACACUAGUCCACUAUAGCAGCUCUGAUAUUAUUUAGUCUUUCUAUGUUAAAGUUUGUAGAGUAGAUGAACGUGAAACAGAAAAAGAAGAAUGCAAGAGAACAGUACUAGUGUUGAUGAUGAUGAAGAAUGGUUCAGCAGCUCAUCAUGUCUUGU